ACGAACGCUGGCGGCGCGCCUAACACAUGCAAGUCGAACGAGCGAGAGAGAGCUUGCUUUCUCGAGCGAGUGGCGAACGGGUGAGUAACGCGUGAGGAACCUGCCUCAAAGAGGGGGACAACAGUUGGAAACGACUGCUAAUACCGCAUAAGCCCACGACCCGGCAUCGGGAAGAGGGGAAAGGAGCAAUCCGCUUUGAGAUGGCCUCGCGUCCGAUUAGCUAGUUGGUGAGGUAACGGCCCACCAAGGCGACGAUCGGUAGCCGGACUGAGAGGUUGAACGGCCACAUUGGGACUGAGACACGGCCCAGACUCCUACGGGAGGCAGCAGUGGGGAAUAUUGCACAAUGGGGGAAACCCUGAUGCAGCGACGCCGCGUGGAGGAAGAAGGUCUUCGGAUUGUAAACUCCUGUUGUUGAGGAAGAUAAUGACGGUACUCAACAAGGAAGUGACGGCUAACUACGUGCCAGCAGCCGCGGUAAAACGUAGGUCACAAGCGUUGUCCGGAAUUACUGGGUGUAAAGGGAGCGCAGGCGGGAAGACAAGUUGGAAGUGAAAUCCAUGGGCUCAACCCAUGAACUGCUUUCAAAACUGUUUUUCUUGAGUAGUGCAGAGGUAGGCGGAAUUCCCGGUGUAGCGGUGGAAUGCGUAGAUAUCGGGAGGAACACCAGUGGCGAAGGCGGCCUACUGGGCACCAACUGACGCUGAGGCUCGAAAGUGUGGGUAGCAAACAGGAUUAGAUACCCUGGUAGUCCACACCGUAAACGAUGAUUACUAGGUGUUGGAGGAUUGACCCCUUCAGUGCCGCAGUUAACACAAUAAGUAAUCCACCUGGGGAGUACGACCGCAAGGUUGAAACUCAAAGGAAUUGACGGGGGCCCGCACAAGCAGUGGAGUAUGUGGUUUAAUUCGACGCAACGCGAAGAACCUUACCAAGUCUUGACAUCCUGCGACGAUGCUGGAAACAGUAUUUUCCUUCGGGACGCAGAGACAGGUGGUGCAUGGUUGUCGUCAGCUCGUGUCGUGAGAUGUUGGGUUAAGUCCCGCAACGAGCGCAACCCUUAUCGCUAGUAGCCAUCAUUCAGUUGGGCACUCUAGUGAGACUGCCGUGGAUAACACGGAGGAAGGUGGGGAUGACGUCAAAUCAUCAUGCCCCUUAUGUUUAGGGCUACACACGUGCUACAAUGGCGUUAAACAAAGAGAAGCAAGACCGCGAGGUGGAGCAAAACUCAGAAACAACGUCCCAGUUCGGACUGCAGGCUGCAACUCGCCUGCACGAAGUCGGAAUUGCUAGUAAUCGUGGAUCAGCAUGCCACGGUGAAUACGUUCCCGGGCCUUGUACACACCGCCCGUCACACCAUGAGAGCCGGGGGGACCCGAAGUCGGUAGUCUAACCGCAAGGAGGACGCCGCCGAAGGUAAAACUGGUGAUUGGGGUG
rnacentral:rRNA from 1 species